rnacentral:lncRNA from 1 species
CCACUUUCUCACUUUAGUACCCUGUCGUUUGAAGUGUAUCAAGUUAGCCUUUGUGGUUUCGCACUUUCUCACUUUAGUACCCUGCGGUUUAAAGUGUAUUAAGUUAGUACCCUAUGGUUUCAUUUUUCUCUCACCGGAGUGUAACUAUUUUUCUUCCUCUCCCUCGCCGGCAUGCUUCUCGGCCCCGAGAAGCACUUCCGCUUCGUCGCCGGCGGCGGCAGUAGGGACGGCGGAUUUGUUUGGCUAGUAUAAAAUCCGUUGCAGUGGAGGUAGAGGGUGAAGACGGAGGAAGAAGACGCAUUAUCGUUCUCAUUAUCGUCGCGGAGGGCCACGGAGGUGCUGGGAGGAUCAGAGAGANAUAUAGCUAACUUUAAUUUCAAAAUAUUUCACUUCACAAGUAAAAAAAAAAAAAAAAAAAAAAAUGGUCGCAGCGCGUCCUCGGCGGAGUCGGAGGCGAGUAGGGCGAGGGGUGCGCGGGCGAGGGUGAGGGCGUGAGGUGCAGGGACGAUGGAAGCCGUUUUCGCCUUCGCCUCCGUCACCUUUUUCAGCGAGAAAAAAAAAGAAUGCCACAAAAAAAAAGAGAGAGAAAAAAGUAUAAGAGUAUUUUGAUCAGUUUACUAAAAAUUCAGAUCAAAUCUGUAAAAUUGAAAAGGUGGCUCAGUUUUGCAAAAA